rnacentral:rRNA from 1 species
AUUCAUUUCGCAAAAAUUCAGAGAUUUUCGAUCUCCUCGAAAGAAAAUGAGUUCGAUCAGCAACACCGGUCUGUGCAGCACCAGGAUAAAGACCUUCUUUUUACCCAUAACCUUUCUCUGCAGCAUUGGAACCAAUAG